GACGAACGCUGGCGGCGUGCCUAAUACAUGCAAGUUGGGCGCUGAAGGUUGGUACUUGUACCAACUGGAUGAGCAGCGAACGGGUGAGUAACGCGUGGGGAAUCUGCCUUUGAGCGGGGGACAACAUUUGGAAACGAAUGCUAAUACCGCAUAAAAACUUUAAACACAAGUUUUAAGUUUGAAAGAUGCAAUUGCAUCACUCAAAGAUGAUCCCGCGUUGUAUUAGCUAGUUGGUGAGGUAAAGGCUCACCAAGGCGAUGUUACAUAGCCGACCUGAGAGGGUGAGCGGCCACAUUGGGACGGAGACACGGCCCAAACUCCUACGGGAGGCAGCAGUAGGGAAUCUUCGGCAAUGGACGAAAGUCUGACCGAGCAACGCCGCGUGAGUGAAGAAGGUUGUCGGAUCGGAAAACUCUGUUGGUAGAGAAGAAAGUUGGUGAGAGUGGAAAGCUCAUCAAGUGACGGUAACUACCCAGAAAGGGACGGCUAACUACGUG
rnacentral:rRNA from 1 species